AACUUAGCAGAGAUGCUUUGGUGCCUUCGGGAACUCUGAGACAGGUGCUGCAUGGCUGUCGUCAGCUCGUGUUGUGAAAUGUUGGGUUAAGUCCCGCAACGAGCGCAACCCUUAUCCCUUUGUUGCCAGCGGCUCGGCCGGGAACUCAAAGGAGACUGCCGGUGAUAAACCGGAGGAAGGUGGGGAUGACGUCAAGUCAUCAUGGCCCUUACGGCCAGGGCUACACACGUGCUACAAUGGCGCAUACAAAGAGAAGCGACCUCGCGAGAGCAAGCGGACCUCAUAAAGUGCGUCGUAGUCCGGAUUGGAGUCUGCAACUCGACUCCAUGAAGUCGGAAUCGCUAGUAAUCGUAGAUCAGAAUGCUACGGUGAAUACGUUCCCGGGCCUUGUACACACCGCCCGUCACACCAUGGGAGUGGGUUGCAAAAGAAGUAGGUAGCUUAACCUUCGGGAGGGCGCUUACCACUUUGUGAUUCAUGACUGGGGUGAAGUCGUAACAAGGUAAGCGUAGCGAG
rnacentral:rRNA from 1 species